UACGUAGGGGGCAAGCGUUAUCCGGAAUCACUGGGUGUAAAGGGUGCGUAGGCGGUUAUGUAAGUCAGAUGUGAAAUACCGAAGCUCAACUUCGGGGCUGCAUUUGAAACUGUGUGACUAGAGUACAGGAGAGGUAAGUGGAAUUCCUAGUGUAGCGGUGAAAUGCGUAGAUAUUAGGAAGAACACCAGUGGCGAAGGCGACUUACUGGACUGAAACUGACGCUGAGGCACGAAAGCGUGGGGAGCAAAC
rnacentral:rRNA from 1 species